UGGGGAAUAUUGCACAAUGGGCGAAAGCCUGAUGCAGCAACGCCGCGUGAGUGAUGAAGGUCUUCGGAUUGUAAAGCUCUGUCUUUUGGGACGAUAAUGACGGUACCAAAGGAGGAAGCCACGGCUAACUACGUGCCAGCAGCCGCGGUAAUACGUAGGUGGCGAGCGUUGUCCGGAUUUACUGGGCGUAAAGGGUGCGUAGGCGGAUGUUUAAGUGAGAUGUGAAAUACCCGGGCUUAACUUGGGUGCUGCAUCUCAAACUGGAUAUCUAGAGUGCAGGAGAGGAGAAUGGAAUUCCUAGUGUAGCGGUGAAAUGCGUAGAGAUUAGGAAGAACACCAGUGGCGAAGGCGAUUCUCUGGACUGUAACUGACGCUGAGGCACGAAAGCGUGGGUAGCAAACAGGAUUAGAUACCCUGGUAGUCCACGCCGUAAACGAUGAGUACUAGGUGUAGGAGGUAUCGACCCCUUCUGUGCCGCAGUAAACACAUUAAGUACUCCGCCUGGGAAGUACGAUCGCAAGAUUAAAAC
rnacentral:rRNA from 1 species